rnacentral:rRNA from 1 species
GAUGAACGCUGACAGAAUGCUUAACACAUGCAAGUCUACUUGAACUUCGGUUUGGGUGGCGGACGGGUGAGUAACGCGUAAAGAACUUGCCUCACAGAUAGGGACAACAUUUGGAAACGAAUGCUAAUACCUGAUAUUAUGAUUUUAGGGCAUCCUAGAAUUAUGAAAGCUAUAUGCACUGUGAGAGAGCUUUGCGUCCCAUUAGCUAGUUGGAGAGGUAACGGCUCACCAAGGCGAUGAUGGGUAGCCGGCCUGAGAGGGUGAUCGGCCACAAGGGGACUGAGACACGGCCCUUACUCCUACGGGAGGCAGCAGUGGGGAAUAUUGGACAAUGGACCAAGAGUCUGGUCCAGCAAUUCUGUGUGCACGAUGAAGUUUUUCGGAAUGUAAAGUGCUUUCAGUUGGGAAGAAAAAAAUGACGGUACCAACAGAAGAAGAGACGGCUAAAUACGUG